rnacentral:rRNA from 1 species
UACGUAGGGUGCGAGCGUUAAUCGGAAUUACUGGGCGUAAAGCGUGCGCAGGCGGUUUUGUAAGCCAGAUGUGAAAUCCCCGGGCUUAACCUGGGAAUGGCAUUUGGGACUGCAAGGCUGGAGUUUGGCAGAGGAGACUGGAAUUCCCGGUGUAGCAGUGAAAUGCGCAGAUAUCAGGAGGAACACCGGUGGCGAAGGCGGGUCUCUGGGCCGAUACUGACGCUGAGGAGCGAAAGCGUGGGGAGCGAACAGG